AUAAUAUUAAUAAUAAUGCAUAAUAUUAAGUAACUAUUUUAAGAACUUUCAAUAACGUUCAAACGUAGUUUUAAGCAAAUUUAAUUGUUUUAUAAAUAUACCAUGCAUUUGAAACUAAUUAUAAUAAUAUUUAAGCUUAAUAGGAAUUCUUAUAUAUUAGAUCUACUCAAUAUAAAAAAAAUCGAAACUGCUCUAACUCAACUAACUAAUCAUACUUUUAAAUGAAAUCUAAUCGCUAUUACUCAUUAUCAUAAUAAAACAUAGUAAGUUUUCUCCAUCUUGAAACAAUUUUAAGUAAUCUUUUAAUAAUAACUUAAUUCUCAUAUACAGAGACAUAAUACUAUGAAAAGAAUAUUUUAAAGAAUUAAACUUUGAUGAGAUAUUAUGUGCACCAUAUAUAUUUCUUUGAUACUUUUACGUAUAAGCUGGUAUCUACCUAGAAUUUCAUCCCACUUUUCUUUAGUAUCGCAGUUAAUCUUUUUAACUGAUAAUAAUUAUCAAUUACCAUUUUCUAUCAUUUAGAUUUAUGCAUUAGAUUCAACUAGAAUCAAACAUACUAUAAACUCUUAUAAUCCAAGUUACAGUACUAUGCCAAAAUAAUUUGCUUAUAAUUCUCAAUGAGAAUUGAUUGUAAAUAGUCUAUCAAAUAAAAAAAAAUUUUGUAUCUGAGAAUGUAAGAAAAUGUGAAGUUCGAACACCUAGGAUGGCUGCCUGGCCUUCGUCACCCUGUGGAUAGAGAAAGCGUCAACACUUAAGGGUGCUAUAAAUUAAGUCCUUAUCUGCUUAGUGCGUGAGUCAACGGGCCCCGACGUCUUAUAAUUGCGACGUCUGAAAAUGCGAAGCUUCGAACGCUCGCAGCGAUUACCUCGGUUCCUUUAUCUCUGGUUCUAGGAAGAGAUAGCGAAGUCACUUGAGAAUGUCGUAAACUAUGCCUUCUCCUUUGCUAGCGUAUAAAAUUUCGAAGACCAGAUAUCAGGAUGCGUUUAUAAUACGCUUAUUAUAUAUAAGUAGCGCUGACCUGAAAUGGAGGAAAGGAUACUUUCUCUGUUGUCUGUUCUUUGUAGUACGUCGUAAAAGUCAAUAGAUGCAAGGCUAUUUAUAUUAUUGAAGAAUUUCGGUUCUAUUUCUAUGAAAACAAAUAAUUAACUUGAAGAAGUUAGCUACGUAACUAAAUUGAAGAAAUUUGGAAUUUUUUAUGGAUCAGCAAUUAGCAACAUUGUAUUUCCUAAAACAACUUGAAGAAGCGGUCAAACAAUCGAUAUUAUUAUUUAAGAUUGCCAACAUUACUCUAAACCAGCGAUUCUUAACCUGUGGUCCAGGAACCUGCGGGGACCACGAGGUCCUCACACAUAUAGGUUAUUAUUGUAUGUGUUAUCGGAAUAAAAAAUAUUUAGUACAUAUGUAUAUUUAUUUAUUUAUAAUGAAUCUCUUCUCUCAAAAAUUUAAAGAUAUUGAAUAAAAAAACAAGUUAUGUAAUUUUUAAAUGGGAAAAGAAAUCUUGAAAAUUAAUACAAAAUACCUAGGUAGACCACAUAGGAAUUCAUCUGAAUCUCCAGGUCACCGAUCUCCUUGACAAUAGUAUACAAAUCAAGGUACAGGACUUUUGAGACAAAAGGCACUAAACUCACCAUCAUAAUUAAAAAAAAAAUAUUCAACGACCAGAAAUACCCAAGAGCCAAACAUAUAUUUAAUUAAGAAGUAUAGAAGAACAUACUGCGUGUAGGUCUCGUCAAAAGCCUGUACCAACAACAUAUUUGCUUAUAAUUUCUUAUAAUUAGGAGAUUAAUUGCAAAUAAUCUUGCGACAUGAAAAAAGUUUCUACAAUGAACGUAAUAAAAUAGUUAGAAUAAUUCGUUAUUUGAAAUAAUUGAAUAAUGCCGGUUUAGAUUUGGAUUUGGUAAUAAAUGAAAAAAUAGUUUGAAAGUAUAUUAAAUUUUAUUGUACAGCGUAACGUGGUCAACCGAUUAGAGAUUGAACCUAGAAUAGAUUUUUUUAUCCGACACCUCGUUUUGAAAAAAAUUGAGUUUGAAAAAUACGGAUGUGUUUUUAAUUUUUCUUCAGAUAAUUUCUUCGUUUUACUCGUAAAAUAAAUAUUUCAGGUGAAGAGAGUUCGUAAGACACACUGUAUCUAAUAAGCAUUUCUUAUGAUCACUAUAUAUACUACUAUCAGUUAUUACAGCAUUAUAUUCUCAUUAUUAGAUUACAGAUUUUUAUACUAAUUAGUAUUCUUACAAAUCUAAUUAAACAAGUGGAAUCUAAGUAGAAAUUUAUUUCAUUCACUGAAUAUUGUAAUAAAUACUAUACUUUGGAUAUUUUUGUACAUUAUGUGCAUUUUUUUAAAUGUUACAUUUUCUAUAAAUGCGGAAAAAUCUACAGUCUACUAAUUAUUUUUAUUUAUAUUUCAAUAAUUCGUGCGAAUUUUACAGAUAUAAAUAUAAGUUCCUGUCUCUUUUAUGUUCUUACUUAUUACACUUAAUUACCAAGAUCACUGAUCGUACUUUGUGUAAUUUUUAUAAAAAUAAUUGAAGUUUAGAAAUAUAUAAUUUAGAAAAUACUUACUGCUAUUUGAUUAAUAUCAACACAUAAUCCCAGAUAUUGAUAAUGUUAUCAUUAAUUGUUAAUAUUAAAACAUGUGCCAAAAUAACGUGGAUAAUAAAACAAAAUUUAUAUACUUUAUUUAUUCAUAACUUAUACAAUUUCUGACAAAGAAUGAUCUAUAAAAUAAGUUAUCCCGAUAGUUCUAAAUUUAUAUAACUUGCAUACAAAGUAUAGGUUAAUAAAAACGCACAUUUUUUAAAUUGUGUUAUUAAACUAUUUGAUACUUUAUACCAGUUUAUUACAAAAAGAAAAGGCAACAAAUAUUAACACAUAAUUCUAAUCAAUGUAAUCAAUAAAGGCCAAAUUGCAGUUCAAACUCUUCAAAUAAUUUAUUUUCUAUACUUUCAUUACAUGUGUCAUAUGAAAGUAAGAAUACAAAUAUCUUAAUAAUAAUUAAAAAAAAAAACAUUUAAAUCAAAAUAAGGAUCAGGGAAAGAAUGAACUCAUUUGAUACUUUUAAAGGAAAAUUUAUUAUCAUAAAACUUGAUGAAAAACCCUUUCAUGACCAAUUAUUAGUUUUGAAUAACAAUUUGUUCCUGUCAUUCUUGCAUGUAAUAAUCCUUAAGCCACCAUAAAGCUUCAGAAAAAAUUUGAUUAAACCAAGGAUAAUCGCAGAAUGAGUAAGAAAAA